UAAAAUGAUACAUCACUCGACCCCACUUUCCAUUUAAAAUUUUAGGGUUGUGAACUGGAACUUAUUUACUAUAUAUUCUUGUUUCUAUUAAAAUUGAAUUAUCCUUAUAUGUCUGUCGUUGAGGAAAAUUUUAAUUUGAGUUGAUGAGCUAAUUUAUUAUUGUCAGUUGUUGCGUAAUGAACUAGACUCCGUUGAAUUCAUAGGAGUUUGUGUUCAAAUUAUUGUAUCAGUUCUAACUAGUUUAAGGGUGAUAACCGGUGAUGCAUGCAGAGACAUCACGAGUUGCCUACAAUUCGCACACAGGAUUGAAAAUUAUUCGCGAUAUCGGAAUGCGCGUUUUUGUGUUGCAAAUUUAUAAAAAAGGAAUAGGCUCUCGAAUUUUCGUUCGCUGAAAGAUGAUGACCUUGCUAAUUUCAUGGUAAAGCAAAUCAACGACUGAUCUCGAUUCGCAAAAUAUAUGAACCAUUUUGGCUUUAUCCAAUUCAUAAAUUGUUGUUGAAUGAUUUAUAGUGGUCGCCACGGUCAUUUAUAGUUGUAGAUCGAAAAUAGUCUAAUCUGUGAAGUCAUCAUCAAA